ACGACAUAGGACGGGAGUGACUUCGCGCACCCGUCAAUGUCUCGCCGCUCCUCCCUCCGCCUCCGCCUCCGCCCUAGCCAUUCCUCCACCUGCCCAUCCCCCACCUGACCGCCCUCACGCAGCUGGGAGCGCUACGCCGCCUGCGCAGCCGCCAGGGCGCGCGCGCGCGAGCUCCGGGACGCUCACUAAGGAGGACGCGCACCACCUGUUCGACGAAUUGCCGCGGCAUGACCGCCGAGCCAAAUGGAUGAGGAUGCUGGCGCACGUUCCUGCGGCACCGGCAGGGGAUUCUUCUCGGCUGCCUAGGCCGCCAUGGCCAAGUCUCAGCACUCCACCUAUAUGUCUUUGGGAAUAAAGGCACUUAUUGGCAAGAGAUCAUGUAAAAUAUCAACUCUACUAAAACCUUCAUCGGACCUGAUAGAGCUACUGGUGGACUAUGUGAUGGUGGAGUAUAUUCCGCUCAGCACUCCACCUAUGUGUCUUUGGGAAUAAAGGCACUUAUUGGCAAGAGAUCAUGUAAAAUAUCCACUCUACUAAAACCUUCAUCGGAUCUCACUCAGCAAGAAUCUGAGCCAACCAUUUAUGGCUGAAACCAUGCAUCUUUCGGAGAGUGGUCUUGCAUUUCCUUGCCUGUGUAGAACCCACUUCCGCGCCACAUCUCAGAUUGCACAGAAGCACUCCACUUAUAUGUCUUUGAGGAUAAAGGCACUUCUUGACAAGAGAUCAUCUAGAAUAUCCACUCUGCCAAAACCUUCGUCGGAUCUCACUCAGCAAGAAUCUGAGCCAACCAUUCACGGCUGAAACCAUGCAUCUUUCGGAGGUAUGCUGUAAUCCUGGAGCCGAGUGAUGGGUUCUUGAAGGUGCCAAUCUGGAUUCAGGUAAGGUGCUGGAAGCAUAUCGCAAGGGCAAGCUUGUGAAAAUAUUGAUCAAGAAAGCUGGCAAAGUUCUCUAUGCCAAUCUCAGAUUGCACAGAAGGUUCCAUUGUUCUCCGUGCACAGCAUCUUCGCCUAGAUCACAGGGCCAUGCAUGUAACUGAAAGUUAAUGCCACACGGGUGGUAACCUGUUGACCAGGAGAAGCAGACCUUGGGUGGCGUCGGCAGAUUCCAAUGGAGCUGUCAAAAAUGCCAGGCUAGGUCAUGGAUUCUUUCAUUUGAUCAGUUUUAUUCUAAGUCAUUGCACGAAUAAAUGGAGAGUACCAAACGAUCAGGUCAGAUUACUGCUUAUCGGCUACUUUUCUUUGUUCCAUACCGGGGAAUCAAGCAGUUAUUCAAUGGGUUAGGAGCCCCACAAUGCUUCACAUGGUGCGCGACCUGCCUUUUGCUUUCUUCAGCGACCCUGAGUUGAUGCUCAUCUUGGCUGCUGCUCCCAUUGCCGUUUGUUAUGGCAGUGAUCGGAACAGUAGUGUGGUAUUUGAAGAAAUAAGUUCAGAUAUGCUCCGUUCUUUGCUUAGAUCCUGCAGAGGUCAGCACUGGCUACUUUUGGAUUCCAUUGCCGCGGAUGGCUCUGGAGCCAAUAAUUCCAGUGACAGCACACAGGUCUCACCGGAUACCAGAAGCUCACUGUCCGACAUCUCAAUGCUGUAAAGCCGACAGUAUCAGGAAAAGGCGGUUCAGGGGCCAUCAGAUUUUGAACAGAAAUGGGAACCAAAAGGAUGGUAGAGGAAUUUUUGUUGACAAGGCAGAAGAAUUUUUGUGCAGCGGUGCAUAACAGAAACACUGAAUAGCACAAGCUGACCAGACCUUCACAAGAAGCUACCGAAUUAGGGUUUUCGAGGCGGUGGCGCGUCUGACUAAUGUACCAUGAGGCGACAUAUUAUGGUGGCGAUUACGGGAUAUGAAUAUGAUUGUAUAGUUCCGGUUUA